rnacentral:rRNA from 1 species
AUUAGCCCAGCACCGAAGCCUCUGGUCAUUUGAUCAUCAGGCAAUGUGGUGUUCGGGUCGGUCCGCAGAGACACUGCUCCACUCUGAGUCCAGCAAUGAGUAUGGUAGCUUGGACAUGGCCCAUUGAGGGUGAAAGGCCCGUAAGAGUGGAGUGCAGGCGGGACAGUAUCUCUCUGGAUUGACCUCAGAGUCGGGUUGUUUGUGAAUGCAGCCCAAAGUGGGUGGUAAACUCCAUCCAAGGCUAAAUACAAGCACGAGUCCGAUAGCAAACAAGUACCGUGAGGGAAAGUUGAAAAGUACUUUGAAGAGAGAGUAAACAGUGCGUGAAACCGCUCAGAGGUAAACGGGUGGAGUUGAACUGCAUGCUCCGUGAAUUCAGCUAGUGAGAUUGUCGUGGGGCUUGGUCAAGUGGGGUAGACACUGAGGUAUGCUUAGCUGCAUGUUCCGGCCUUCAGGUUGGAAUGCGUGCUGCGCUUAUCACGCGUUGCGCGCCUCUGUUGUUUAUCUGCCCUCUCGCUAGUGCAUUUUCACGGGGUGAUCACCAAGAUCGGCGUUGCUGUCCGGCUGCUUCAGUUAAACCGGUCUUACGCGUCAUUAUGGCGUUGUUUGGUCGGGACGGCAGGUAGCCUGUUAGCUUGUUCCUCUUGCUCUCAGGUGUAAUCAGCUGACUAAGGCGGUACUGUGCGGCGCGUCGGAGCUGGCGGCCAGUUGUGCAUGCCCGCGUGUCAUGCCUUCCGAGGGAUUCUGUUUCGAUCGCUAUGUUGCCUGUCUCGGCAGGUCUAGCGGUAGACAGGGUUCUAUUGGUUGGUGGUUCCGUGGGUAGCACAUUGAAUGGGCCAAAAGUCUUUGGUGUCGUGGUAGACCAUCCACCUGACCCGUCUUGAAACACGGACCAAGGAGAGUAACAUGUGCGCGAGUCAUUGGGCGUAACGAAACCCAAAGGCGCAGUGAAAGUAAAGGUCCGACUUGUUCGGUCUGAGGUGAGAUCCUGUUGUUUCUCAUGCGUGGUACCACCAAGCUUGGAGCGACAGGCGCAUCACCGGCCCGUCCCAUGAUGUAGACACGGUCUUUUGUACUCGUGCACCGUCGGGGCGGAGCAUGAGCGCACACGUUGAGACCCGAAAGAUGGUGAACUAUGCUUGCGCAGGUUGAAGCCAGAGGAAACUCUGGUGGAGGACCGCAGCGAUUCUGACGUGCAAAUCGAUCGUCAAACGUGAGUAUAGGGGCGAAAGACUAAUCGAACCAUCUAGUAGCUGGUUCCCUCCGAAGUUUCCCUCCGGAUAGCUGGCAUUCGGAGAUAUAAACAGUUUUAUCCGGUAAAGCGAAUGAUUAGAGGUAUUGGGGACGAAACGUGCUCAACCUAUUCUCAAACUUUAAAUGGGUGAGAAGCCGAACUCGCCCAAGCGGAGUUCGGCGUUGAAUGUGAGUGCCAAGUGGGCCAUUUUUGGUAAGCAGAACUGGCGCUGUGGGAUGAACCAGACGUUCGGUUAAGGUGCCAAACACGACGCAUAUCAGAUACCACAAAAGGUGUUGGUUG